rnacentral:tRNA from 1 species
GCUUAAAUAGUUUAACACAAAACAUUGGUCUUGUAAACCAAAAACGAAAUCUAUUUUCCUUAAGCA